UACGGAGGGUGCAAGCAUUAAUCGGAAUUAUUGGGCGUAAAGGGCGCGUAGGCGGGAACCUAAGUCAGGUGUGAAAUCCCAGAGCUUAACUCUGGAACUGCAUUUGAAACUGGUUUUCUUGAGGGAGGACGGAGAAAGUAGAAUUCCACAAGUAGCGGUGAAAUGCGUAGAUAUGUGGAAGAAUACCGGUGGCGAAGGCGACUUUCUAGUUUUUACCUGACGCUGAGGCGCGAAAGCAAGGGGAGCAAACAGG
rnacentral:rRNA from 1 species